rnacentral:rRNA from 1 species
UACGUAGGGUGCAAGCGUUGUCCGGAAUUAUUGGGCGUAAAGAGCUCGUAGGCGGUUUGUCGCGUCUGCUGUGAAAACCUAAGGCUCAACCUUGGGCUUGCAGUGGGUACGGGGCAGACUAGAGUGCGGUAGGGGGUGACUGGAAUUCCUGGUGUAGCGGUGGAAUGCGCAGAUAUCAGGAGGAACACCGAUGGCGAAGGCAGGUCACUGGGCCGCAAACUGACGCUGGAGG